ACGUACACAAAACAAGAGAUUUUUACAAUAUAAAAUUAUUAAAAUAUUUAACAUUUCUUACAUGCAAAGUGAAAAAAAAUGGCUGAAACUCUCAAGUUUAUUUAUACUGUGAUGUUUUUUGUUUCCCUAUUUUUCAUUGUAAUCAUUAAUGCAGUCCCCAACUUUGAUUCAACAAUGUGUAAAACAGACCAAGAUUGCAUAAGGAUUUGUGCUACUAUGCAUAAAUGUUAUAAUUGUCUACCCAUAUGCGAAAGAGGUAAAUGUAUAAAGAGGGUCGGGUUUUGUGAGAAGUUGGAAAGCUGCUGCAACACUUGAACAAAAAAGAUGUUGACGAUGACGAUGUUGAUGUUGAUGAUGAAUGGACUUGAAGAUUCCAAGCGUGUAUAUAUACACUAACCUUGAGGUUCAAUCCGCCCCCACCAAUUAAUGUAUAUUGGAUGCAAUUGGGUAAACCGGCAGAUCCCCUUCAGGAUACUUUGAAUUCCUCGAUGUGGUUUGCACUAACACAACAAGCCUAUCUCUAGCUAAUAAUAGUUUACAGAAAUAUGAUUCAUACACUUCACUCAUGCAUUAAUGGAGUAAAAGAUGAUUUAGAAUAAUGUAAAUAGGAGAUAAUUUGAUUGGAGUAUUCCAAUUUUCAGAUGUUGUUACUGAUUGCCAAGUCUCUCUAUUUAUAGAGGGAUUAACAUCACUUUGUGAAGAGAAACAUCUCUUAACACAGGUCUAUACUAGUGUAUGCGAACCUUUAUUACUGUUUACUUUCAGGACUUAUCAAAUCCAUCGCAUUGGUUCAGUUGGUAGUUGUGUUAAUCCAGUAAUAGAAGGACGCGAGUUUGACUCCGUUGUGUUGUAACUUUUUGCUAAAAUUUAAUUCUGAUUAAUCAA